rnacentral:rRNA from 1 species
UGAUUCCUACGGGAGGCAGCAGUGGGGAAUAUUGCACAAUGGGGGAAACCCUGAUGCAGCGACGCCGCGUGAGCGAAGAAGUAUUUCGGUAUGUAAAGCUCUAUCAGCAGGGAAGAAAAUGACGGUACCUGACUAAGAAGCCCCGGCUAACUACGUGCCAGCAGCCGCGGUAAUACGUAGGGGGCAAGCGUUAUCCGGAUUUACUGGGUGUAAAGGGAGCGUAGGCGGUGCAGCAAGUCAGAAGUGAAAGCCCGGGGCUCAACUCCGGGACUGCUUUGGAAACUGCCUGACUGGAGUGCUGGAGG